UCGACAGAGCCCAUUUUUGUGUGCCUCUCGCCGAGUGCACGCAAGCAGUGGCACUUCCUUUUCCGUCUUCGCCACCGGAUCAAGUGGCUCUGCAUCAUGCUGUCUUCUGCAAGCAGCGCUUCCGCGCUGUGGAGCGCGUGCGGCAUCGUUGCGUUGAUCUGUGCCUUCGCCACCGCUGUCCUCUGUGUGACCGUGUGGCAGCUCUGCGGACGCGUCAACGUGAUGCAGCACGGCGCCGUCGCCAUCGCCCUCAUCCCGAUAUCAGUUUUCCUCGGCCAUGUCUUGUGUGCCUCCUACAACGCACUGGGCGAGACCCUGCAGACGUUCGCCAAGAAGAACGCGCAAGAUUUGCCACAGCCGCUCUUCUACGUGAUUGCGGCGAUCCGCCCGCUCGUGGCGCAAGUUGGGCUGACGGACGCGAUGUGGAUGGCAUGCUUGCUGUUUACUGCCUAUAGCGUGACGAAGGUGUUGCACCACUUGAUUGACAUCACGCGGUUGCUGAAGGCGUCUCGGCGACGGCUGCAGCUGCCCGAAAUGCGCGAGCGCCGUCGACAAGAGGAGGCGGCGAAUACGAAAGGGCAGAAGCGGCGUUGAGCAAGUUGUCUUUAUCUGUGUAAAGCGCAUGGAAGGGGGAGGGAGGUGGUCGAGCUCCAGGUCUUCUGCCGAUGUGUUGUGCAGGUCCAACGCCCCCCUUUCCUUUCCUUCUCUCUUUCUCGGCUGCACAUGUAGGGACUGCGCACAGGAGUGCAACUCGGCAGUCGAAGCAAAGGGCGUGAGCAGGGACCACAAGUAGGCAAGGCGAACCGCGUUGUAUCACGCUGGCGCACGUCUUGACGCUUCCGAAAGCAUCGGCGUCGAAUCUGACGACGGUUCGACCCAAGCGCUCGUGCAGGGCCACACGAUAAAGUGACUUCCUCGUCUUGUGCACCCACCUUCCACUCCUCUCCCUCUUUCUUCACUGCGCAG
rnacentral:misc_RNA from 1 species